rnacentral:rRNA from 1 species
GACGAACGCUGGCGGCGUGCUUAACACCUGCCAGUCGAGCGGAGCGGCGAACGGGUGAGUAACGCGUGAGUAACUGCCCCCCUCUCUGGGAUAACAGUUGGAAACGGCUGCUAAUACCGGAUAGUGGGGGAUGACUCGCGUCCUAUCAGCUUGGUGGUGGGGUAGUGGCCUACCAAGGCGACGACGGGUAGCCGGCCUGAGAGGGCGACCGGCCACAAUGGGCUGAGAUACGGCCCAAACGCCUACGGGGGGCAGGAGUGGGGAAUAUGACACAAUGGGGGAAACCCUGAGGCAGAGAGGCGCGGGCGGGAUGACGGGCUUCUGGUUGUAAACCGCUUUCAGCCAUGACGCGGUAGUGGCAGAAGAAGCACCGGCUAACUACGUGCCAGCAGCCGCGGUAAUAC